CAGUCGCCGCGGUAAUACGUAGGUGGCAAGCGUUGUCCGGAAUUAUUGGGCGUAAAGGGCUCGCAGGCGGUUUCUUAAGUCUGAUGUGAAAGCCCCCGGCUCAACCGGGGAGGGUCAUUGGAAACUGGGAAACUUGAGUGCAGAAGAGGAGAGUGGAAUUCCACGUGUGGCGGUGAAAUGCGUAGAGAUGUGGAGGAACACCAGUGGCGAAGGCGACUCUCUGGUCUGUAACUGACGCUGAGGAGCGAAAGCGUGGGGAGCGAACAGGAUUAGAUACCCCUGUAGUCCCUGUCUCUUAUAC
rnacentral:rRNA from 1 species